GACGAACGCUGGCGGCGUGCUUAACACAUGCAAGUCGAACGGAAAGGCCUGCUUUCCCUUGUGGAUUGCGGGUACUCGAGUGGCGAACGGGUGAGUAACACGUGAGUGAUCUGCCCCCAACUUGGGUAUAAGCCUGGGAAACUGGGUCUAAUUCCCGAUAGGACUGCAGGGUGGUGCCUGUGGUGGAAAACGAUUUUCUAGUGGUUGGGGAUGAGCUCGCGGCCUAUCAGCUUGUUGGUGGGGUAAUGGCCUACCAAGGCGGCGACGGGUAGCCGGCCUGAGAGGGUGGACGGCCACAUUGGGACUGAGAUACGGCCCAGACUCCUACGGGAGGCAGCAGUGGGGAAUAUUGCACAACGGGCGGAAGCCUGAUGCAGCGACGCCGCGUGGGGGAUGACGGCCUUCGGGUUGUAAACUCCUUUCGACCGCGAGGAAGCCACCUGGUUGGAAGGGUGGUGACGGUAGUGGUAGAAGAAGCACCGGCUAACUACGUG
rnacentral:rRNA from 1 species